AACGAACGCUGGCGGCAGGCUUAACACAUGCAAGUCGAACGCCCCGCAAGGGGAGUGGCAGACGGGUGAGUAACGCGUGGGAACAUACCCUUUCCUGCGGAAUAGCCCUGGGAAACUGGAAUUAAUACCGCAUACGCCCUACGGGGGAAAGAUUUACCGGGGAAGGAUUGGCCCGCGUUGGAUUAGCUAGUUGGUGGGGUAAAGGCCUACCAAGGCGACGAUCCAUAGCUGGUCUGAGAGGAUGAUCAGCCACAUUGGGACUGAGACACGGCCCAAACUCCUACGGGAGGCAGCAGUGGGGAAUAUUGGACAAUGGGCGCAAGCCUGAUCCAGCCAUGCCGCGUGAGUGAUGAAGGCCUUAGGGUUGUAAAGCUCUUUCACCGAUGAAGAUAAUGACGGUAGUCGGAGAAGAAGCCCCGGCUAACUUCGUGCCAGCAGCCGCCGUAACAC
rnacentral:rRNA from 1 species